rnacentral:rRNA from 1 species
AAAUUGAAGAGUUUGAUCAUGGCUCAGAUUGAACGCUGGCGGCAGGCCUAACACAUGCAAGUCGAACGGUAACAGGAAACAGCUUGCUGUUUCGCUGACGAGUGGCGGACGGGUGAGUAAUGUCUGGGAAACUGCCCGAUGGAGGGGGAUAACUACUGGAAACGGUAGCUAAUACCGCAUAACGUCGCAAGACCAAAGAGGGGGACCUUCGGGCCUCUUGCUAUCGGAUGUGCCCAGAUGGGAUUAGCUAGUAGGUGGGGUAACGGCUCACCUAGGCGACGAUCCCUAGCUGGUCUGAGAGGAUGACCAGCCACACUGGAACUGAGACACGGUCCAGACUCCUACGGGAGGCAGCAGUGGGGAAUAUUGCACAAUGGGCGCAAGCCUGAUGCAGCCAUGCCGCGUGUAUGAAGAAGGCCUUCGGGUUGUAAAGUACUUUCAGCGGGGAGGAAGGGAGUAAAGUUAAUACCUUUACUCAUUGACGUUACCCGCAGAAGAAGCACCGGCUAACUCCGUGCCAGCAGCCGCGGUAAUACGGAGGGUGCAAGCGUUAAUCGGAAUUACUGGGCGUAAAGCGCACGCAGGCGGUUUGUUAA